AUGCGCUGCUUAUGCACUGACACAAAAAAGUCCUCAGGAGGAGGUUUUACACUGAAAUUUGAUGUUCAGAAGAAAAAACAUGCACAUAGAAAAGAGCGAACGACGGAACAAUCAGCAUGGGCACUGUCCCGAUUUUAUCCGGUUCUGGAGUGUGGGUAUUACGCCGAAGCCUUGGACCCCUGCGGUGCGGCUCCAGCCAGGGAGGGGUUGUCGCACAGCAUAGGCAAGGGAAGAAUUAUCAGAUGGGAGAUAAUUUGA
rnacentral:rRNA from 1 species